GAUACCCUGGUAGUCCACGCCGUAAACGAUGAGUGCUAAGUGUUGGAGGGUUUCCGCCCUUCAGUGCUGCAGCUAACGCAUUAAGCACUCCGCCUGGGGAGUACGACCGCAAGGUUGAAACUCAAAGGAAUUGACGGGGGCCCGCACAAGCGGUGGAGCAUGUGGUUUAAUUCGAAGCAACGCGAAGAACCUUACCAGGUCUUGACAUCCUUUGACCACUCUAGAGAUAGAGCUUCCCCUUCGGGGGCAAAGUGACAGGUGGUGCAUGGUUGUCGUCAGCUCGUGUCGUGAGAUGUUGGGUUAAGUCCCGCAACGAGCGCAACCCUUAUUGUUAGUUGCCAUCAUUNAGUUGGGCACUCUAGCAAGACUGCCGGUGACAAACCGGAGGAAGGUGGGGAUGACGUCAAAUCAUCAUGCCCCUUAUGACCUGGGCUACACACGUGCUACAAUGGGAAGUACAACGAGUUGCGAAGUCGCGAGGCUAAGCUAAUCUCUUAAAGCUUCUCUCAGUUCGGAUUGCAGGCUGCAACUCGCCUGCAUG
rnacentral:rRNA from 1 species